UACGUAGGGUCCGAGCGUUAAUCGGAAUUACUGGGCGUAAAGCGUGCGCAGGCGGUUUGUUAAGUCCGUUGUGAAAGCCCCGAGCUCAACUUGGGAAUUGCAGUGGAUACUGGCAGGCUGGAGUACGGUAGAGGAAGGUGGAAUUCCCGGUGUAGCAGUGAAAUGCGUAGAUAUCAGGAGGAACACCGGUGGCGAAGGCGGGUCUCUGGGCCGAUACUGACGCUGAGGAGCGAAAGCGUGGGGAGCGAACAGG
rnacentral:rRNA from 1 species